CGUGGCGGGAACUGAUCGGACU
rnacentral:siRNA from 1 species